AACCAUAGAAACCUGCGGAGUACCUGCGGAGGGAUCAUUACACAAUAAACAUAUGAAGGCUGCACCGCCAACAGGCGGCAAGGCUGGAGUAUUUUAUUACCCUUGUCUUUUGCGCACUUGUUGUUUCCUGGGCGGGUUCGCCCGCCUCCAGGACCACAUGAUAAACCUUUUUUAUGCAGUUGCAAUCAGCGUCAGUACAACAAAUGUAAAUCAUUUACAACUUUCAACAACGGAUCUCAG
rnacentral:misc_RNA from 1 species